rnacentral:rRNA from 1 species
AGUGAACGCUGGCGGCGUGCUUAACACAUGCAAGUCGAACGAGAACGGAUUAUAGCUUGCUAUAAUUGUCAGCUAUGUGGCGCACGGGUGAGUAAUGUAUAGGUAAUAUGCCUCUUACUAAGGGAUAACAAAUGGAAACGUUUGCUAAUACCUUAUACUCCUUAUUAACAGAAGUUAAUAAGGGAAAGAUUUAUUGGUAAGAGAUUAGCCUGUAUUGUAUCAGUUAGUUGGUGGGGUAAUGGCUUACCAAGACUAUGACACAUAACUGGUUUGAGAGGAUGAUCAGUCACACUGGAACUGAGACACGGUCCAGACUCCUACGGGAGGCAGUAGUGGGGAAUAUUGCACAAUGGACGAAAGUCUGAUGCAGCAACGCCGCGUGGAGGAUGACACAUUUCGGUGCGUAAACUCCUUUUAUAUGAGAAGAUAAUGACGGUAUUAUAUGAAUAAGCACCGGCUAACUCCGUGCCAGCAGCCGCCGUAA